AUUGAACGCUGGCGGCAGGCCUAACACAUGCAAGUCGAACGAGUCGCGGACGGGUUAGUACUGUCUGUGCACCUUCCCGGUGGAGGGGUACAACUACUGGAAACUGAAGCUACUACCGCACACCAUCACCUGUGCCCAGUUGGGAAUAGCUUGUUGGUGGGGUAACGGCUCACCAAGGCGACGAUCCCUAGCUGGUCUAAGAGGAUGACCAGCCACACUGGAACUGAGACACGGUCCAGACUCCUACGGGAGGCAGCAGUGGGGAAUAUUGGACAAUGGGGGAAAGCCUGAUGCAGCCAUGCCGCGUGUGUGAUGAAGGCCUUCGGGUUGUAAAGUACUUUCGGCAGGGAGGCGUUACCCGCAGAAGAAGCACCGGCUAACUACGUGCCAGCAGCCGCGGUAAUAC
rnacentral:rRNA from 1 species